rnacentral:rRNA from 1 species
UACGGAGGGUGCAAACGUUGCUCGGAAUCAUUGGGCGUAAAGCGCACGUAGGCGGCCUGUUAAGUCGGGUGUGAAAGCCCUCGGCUCAACCGAGGAAGUGCAUUCGAAACUGGCGGGCUUGAAUAUGGAAGAGGGUCGCGGAAUUCCCGGUGUAGAGGUGAAAUUCGUAGAUAUCGGGGGGAACACCAGUGGCGAAGGCGGCGACCUGGGCCAAUAUUGACGCUGAGGUGCGAAAGCGUGGGGAGCAAACAGG